ensembl:rRNA 5S_rRNA 5S ribosomal RNA
GUCUAUAGCCAUACCACGCUGAACGCACCCAAUCUCAUUUGAUCUUGAAAGCUAAGCAGGGUUGGGCCUGGUUAGUACUUAGAAGGGAGAAAUACUGGGGUUGCCAUUUCCU